GUGUCUGGAAGUUAUGGCCGCGCCGGUCCGUGGUGCUCUCCCUGAAAGGCCUAGGCUUCGGGUCAUGGCAUGCCUUUGGCACUCGAGAGACAAGCUGCAGGUUCCAUCACAGAAGUCAUGGCUGGAUCCCUGAAACGGACUCUGUGUGGUCACCACUCAGAUGAUGGGCUUCUGCCUCACGUUAACCUCUGAAGUUCAGCCAUAAGAACACGCCUUGAGCCCUCAGUCCAUUUUGAUUGGCAUGUUGGCUCCAAGAAGCAUCACCGUAAGGCGUGGUACAUAAGGGGCUUCGGGGUGAGUCUGCUUGGUGUAGGCUGUUUCUGGGCUCUCAAGGGGUGUUGAUACAGCCACACAGGUAGCCGUCCUGCACCUGGAUUUUUGCCUGGACUCAGAACGAUGCCUGUGAGAAGAACUUCCCCACACGGCUCAAUGGAGCACCAGUGCUUCCUAGUCCUGUAGUCUGGCUGAGGAAUGUGCAGGCAGAUUGGCAUGUUGCCUCCAAGAAGCAUCACCGUAAGGCGUGGUUUACAUAAGGGGCUUCGGGGUGAGUCUCUGGUUAUUGCUCUGUAGUGCCAGAGAGAACUAUAUAGCUGCUGCUGCUGCUGCUGCUCCUGCCUUUCAUUCCCCAGUCAUCGAGAGACCUUGGAGUUUGUUCUGCAAGAGGAGCCAGGAGUGACUGAUCACCCUGGGAAGCCUUUGGCAGCGGUGACAGCACUCAGUUGGAGGCACUGGAGAGGCCCCUGCUUAGCCCAGAAAAGCAUUUAUGAGAGUAGAUUUUUUCUGGGAAGUCAGGGUUGGGCUUUGUAUUUUGAAGCACAAAUAAACUUUAUAAAAUUUAACUUUA